ACGAGGAAGUAAAGGCGUCUCGCGUCGUUUCGCUUUCCGAUAUUCCUGACAAAUUAUCAUAAAUGUGACAUUACAAUGCGAAAAAAAUAGAAGUCAAAGGAAUUUGUAACUGGCUGCUACAUCGGAAGGCUCGAUAUAUCUUUAGAAAAUGACGAUAUCUAACAUUUACGGGGUGAAAUCUAUCCAAGUCAGAGAAAAUCGGAUAGCCGCCAUGUUGUCAACAUUGACAUCGAUAAAAAGGAAAAGCGUGUGUGUGACGCAUACUGUAAAUGCAAACAAGGAAAUUGUGGAACAUGUUCACACACUCUGGCUGUAAAAGUAGACCUGGGAGGAAAAGUGCCCCCGGUGUGGGGCUCGAACUCACAACCACCAGAACACUAGCCCGGCGCUCUAACCAACUAAGCUGACCGGGCAGCUGGUUCUAACCCACACACACUACCCUCCCCCCAUUUACCGGUUAAGGCUGGUGGAGGGUCUCCUGCUAUUUACCGUUGACACCAUUAAAGUAUUCUGAUUGAUGGAGUUAAGGAAGUCCCCUUAUUAUUGUCUUCAACAAGCCUACCGCCACAGGGGACCUAGCAUAAGACCGGAAACCGCCCCCCCCCCCACACACACAUGAUAUUUGCCAGUCCAGGCAAUGUCAACCGCAAGAGAAAACCAGUGAUGACAGGUUUUACAAAUAAUAGGAAAGUAUGGUCUUUUGAAGAGAGUUCUUGAAGUUGUUCAGCAUGUUGUUUUGAUGGAUUCUUGGAAGGAUGUACCUCUAUGAUGUUAGCUUCAGUUCUGGAGUAUAACACCAGUUGUUGCAUAUUUAAUAUCAGAUUUAUUAAAUACAUUGUUGUUUUGCAAACAUUACUUAAACUUUGAUAUUUCUUUGGUGUUUAUGUAUGAUAUUGUAGGUGAAUAUCUCUUUAUUGCAAUGGCAAAUAUAUUUUAAAAUAUAUAGCAUUAGCAGAAGUUAUUUUUCACUGUUAAAGCUGCACUUUCACAGAUUGAUCACUUUGACAACUUACACAGGAUUCGAUUGCAUUUAUCAUAUUUUGGCUCGGAGAAGUUUGCUUUGUGAUUUAUAUAUUAGGUCUUAAUUUAAAGAAUGCCAAAAUAAGCCGAUUCUGAGACAAAAAGUGUCAAACUAGAAUUCUGUGAGAGUGCAACUUUAAGAAUACUGUUAAUCGAGUGUGCAUGUGAUCCGGACUCUGAACAUUGGAUGAACUAUCAUUAAAUAUUGUAGAUUUACGUAAAUGGCCCAAAAUAUAAGAAUAACAAUGAAAAUAUGUA